CCGCAGGAGUAACCUGCGGAAGGUAUCAUUA
rnacentral:rRNA from 1 species